rnacentral:rRNA from 1 species
UACAGAGGUCUCAAGCGUUGUUCGGAUUCAUUGGGCGUAAAGGGUGCGCAGGCGGCGCGGUAAGUCGGGUGUGAAAUCUCGGAGCUUAACUCCGAAACUGCAUUCGAUACUGCCGUGCUUGAGGACUGGAGAGGAGACUGGAAUUUACGGUGUAGCGGUGAAAUGCGUAGAUAUCGUAAGGAAGACCAGUGGCGAAGGCGGGUCUCUGGACAGUUCCUGACGCUGAGGCACGAAGGCCAGGGAGCAAACGGG